CGGGGCAUGGCUGAGUGGUAAAGCGUUCAGUUCGGGGCUGAGACUUCCUAUGUUCGAUUCAUAGUGACCCGA